rnacentral:rRNA from 1 species
UACGUAGGGGGCAAGCGUUGUCCGGAAUCAUUGGGCGUAAAGCGCGUGUAGGCGGCUCGGUAAGUCCGCUCUGAAAGUCCAGGGCUCAACCCUGGGAUGCGGGUGGAUACUGCCGGGCUCGAGUCCGGAAGAGGCGAGUGGAAUUCCCGGUGUAGCGGUGAAAUGCGCAGAUAUCGGGAGGAACACCAAUAGCGAAGGCAGCUCGCUGGGACGGUACUGACGCUAAGGCGCGAAAGCGUGGGGAGCGAACAGG